CAGUCGCCGCGGUAAAACGAAGGGUGCAAGCGUUACUCGGAAUUACUGGGCGUAAAGCGUGCGUAGGUGGUGGUUUAAGUCCGUUGUGAAAGCCCUGGGCUCAACCUGGGAAUUGCAGUGGAUACUGGGUCACUAGAGUGUGGUAGAGGAUAGUGGAAUUUCCGGUGUAGCGGUGAAAUGCGUAGAGAUCGGGAGGAACAUCAGUGGCGAAGGCGGCCAUCUGGGACAACACUGACGCUGAGGCACGAAAGCGUGGGGAGCAAACAGGAUUAGAUACCCCCGUAGUCCCUGUCUCUUAUAC
rnacentral:rRNA from 1 species